UCCCUGGUGUCUCAGACAGUAAAGAAUCUGCCUACAAUGCAGAAGACCUGGGUUCAAUCCCUGGGUAGCGAA
rnacentral:tRNA from 1 species